GACGUAGGGCGCGAGCGUUGUCCGGAUUUAUUGGGCGUAAAGAGCUCGUAGGCGGCUUGUCGCGUCGAAUGUGAAAACCCACGGCUCAACUGUGGGCUUGCAUUCGAUACGGGCAGGCUAGAGUUCGGUAGGGGAGAGUGGAAUUCCUGGUGUAGCGGUGGAAUGCGCAGAUAUCAGGAGGAACACCGGUGGCGAAGGCGGGUCUCUGGGCAGUAACUGACGCUGGAGGAGCGAAAGCCGUGGGGAGCAAACAGG
rnacentral:rRNA from 1 species